CUACGGGGGGCUGCAGUAGGGAAUAUUGGACAAUGGGCGAAAGCCUGAUCCAGCAACACCGCGUGCACGAUGACGGCCUUCGGGUUGUAAAGUGCUUUUAGAGGAGAUGAGAAAGGACAGUAUCCUCUGAAUAAGCCUCGGCGAACUACGUGCCAGCAGCCGCGGUAAAACGUAGGAGGCAAGCGUUAUCCGGAUUUAUUGGGCGUAAAGCGCGUGCAGGCGGUCUAGCAAGUUGGAUGUGAAAGCUCCCAGCUCAACUGGGAGGGGUCGUUCAAUACUGUUAGACUAGAGAAUAGAGAGGGAGGUGGAAUUCCGGGUGUAGUGGUGAAAUGCGUAGAUAUCCGGAGGAACACCAGUGGCGAAAGCGGCCUCCUGGACUAUUUCUGACGCUAAGACGCGAAAGCUAGGGUAGCAAACGGGAUUAGAUACCCCGGUAGUC
rnacentral:rRNA from 1 species